UUGUAAGGGAGGAGUCUAAGUGCAUUCAAAUGCUCCACUAAUGACAUGACAAGUGUCACCAUCUGAAGGGCCUCAGUGACAACGUGCCUUGGAGAAAGGAGUUUCAAUGGUCCUUCUCAAUGUACCAUCCUUAUCAGAUGGUACCAGCACUAAAAGCCACGCCCCAUUAGGCUUCCAAGUCAUAUAAUUCUCCAUUGCGCAACCCCCA
rnacentral:lncRNA from 1 species